AACGAACGCUGGCGGCAUGCCUAACACAUGCAAGUCGAACGAGACCUUCGGGUCUAGUGGCGCACGGGUGCGUAACGCGUGGGAACCUGCCCUUAGGUUCGGAAUAACUCCCCGAAAGGGGUGCUAAUACCGGAGAAUGUCUUCGGACCAAAGAUUUAUCGCCUUUGGAUGGGCCCGCGUUGGAUUAGCUAGUUGGUAGGGUAAAAGCCUACCAAGGCGACGAUCCAUAGCUGGUCUGAGAGGAUGACCAGCCACGCUGGGACUGAGACACGGCCCAGAAUCCUACGGGAAGCAGCAGUGGGGAAUAUUGGACGAUGGGCGCAAGCCUGAUACAGCAAUGCCGCGUGAGUGAUGAAGGGCUUAGGGUUGUAAAGCUCUUUUACCCGGGAUGAUAAUGACAGUACCGGGAGAAUAAGCACCGGCUAACUCCGUG
rnacentral:rRNA from 1 species